AGUGGGGAAUUUUGGACAAUGGGGGCAACCCUGAUCCAGCAAUGCCGCGUGAGUGAAGAAGGCCCUCGGGUUGUAAAGCUCUUUUGUCAGGGAAGAAACGGAGUUCUCUAAUAUAGGAUUCUAAUGACGGUACCUGAAGAAUAAGCACCGGCUAACUACGUGCCAGCAGCCGCGGUAAUACGUAGGGUGCAAGCGUUAAUCGGAAUUACUGGGCGUAAAGCGUGCGCAGGCGGUUUUGUAAUUCUGAUGUGAAAUCCCCGGGCUCAACCUGGGAACUGCAUUGGAGACUGCAAGGCUAGAGUGUGUCAGAGGGGGGUAGAAUUCCACGUGUAGCAGUGAAAUGCGUAGAGAUGUGGAGGAAUACCGAUGGCGAAGGCAGCCCCCUGGGAUAACACUGACGCUCAUGCACGAAAGCGUGGGGAGCAAACAGGAUUAGAUACCCUGGUAGUCCACGCCCUAAACGAUGUCUACUAGUUGUCGGGACUUAAUUGUCUUGGUAACGCAGCUAACGCG
rnacentral:rRNA from 1 species